GCUUAUGGAAGUCAUGCCAAAGAAGCCCCAUGGAAGCUAUGGUCCGUAAAGCCAAAGCCACCUCCAAGAAACUCCCGUAAAAAUCGUUUCUCUCUAGGUUUUGGGUUUUGGUGUUUUUGGAAAAACCACACUUAAUUACUUCCUAAGGAAAUGUCACAUCGAAGAGGAAGAGUACAAAUAAUGU